AUUGAACGCUGGCGGCAGGCCUAACACAUGCAAGUCGAGCGAGCGGCGGACGGGUGAGUAAUGUCUGGGAAACUGCCUGAUGGAGGGGGAUAACUACUGGAAACGGUAGCUAAUACCGCAUACCAUCAGAUGUGCCCAGAUGGGUUUAGCUAGUAGGGGGGGUAACGGCUCACCUAGGCGACGAUCUCUAGCUGGUCUGGGAGGAUGACCAGCCGCACUGGACCUGAGAUACGGUCCAGUCUCCGACGGGAGGCAGCAUUGGGGAAUAUUCCGCAAUGGGCGGAAGCCGUAUGCAGCCAUGCGGCGUGUGUGAAGAAGGCCUUCGGUUUGUAAAGCACUUUCAGCGGGGAGGCGUUACCCGCAGAAGACGCACCGGCUAACUCCUUGCCAGCCGCCGAGGUAAUUC
rnacentral:rRNA from 1 species